GCGGUCAAGUCAAAAAGUGCAUAGUUUCCAGCCCAUUAAUCAAAUGCCUGGGCAAGUGUCGAAGCAUUGCCUGAGAUAGUUUGGAGUAGGAUAGGUAGGAGGGAAAAUAAAGUGUGAGGAGACAGUAUGUCAGUGAGAGGGGUCUAUCAUGUUAUUGGUUGUUGUAUUCCAGAUAAAUGCCCACUUGCACCUGAAGAAAGACUUGAACCAUGUACCAACUUCUGCCAUUCAGAUAAUCACUGCCCUGGGAUCCUGAAGUGCUGCAAAUGGCGAUGCACAAAUUUCUGCAUGUUCCCUGUAUGAAAUGGACUGAUCUUGAAGGAGGUCUGGAUCCAUGGAGAGCAACCAACGGAGAUACCUGACCAGAGCUCCUCUGUCCAUCUCUCCCUGCUCCCAGGGAAUCUGACUCCUGCUCUGCACCAUCUCCACUUUCCACAUUGACGGUCCCAAUGCUUCUCUGUUAGCACAUCUCCUUCCCUGGAAAAUAAAUGCUCCAACAAGAGUCCUUUUGUUGGCUUGUGGGGAGGUGGUCUUCUUUUCCUGAGGGUCCCAAAGGUCUCCCUCUCCUCCAAGAAGAAAUACAGAUGGAAGUCUUCUCACCAAUGGCCUGGAGGCCCACCCACACCAGUUACCCUGAGAAAUACCUCACUGUCAUUACUUCUAUGGCAUGAAAAAAAUCCCAUAAAUGUGGUAUGGAUGGGGCCACUCUGGGCCCACCUUUCUUAUGAGGGCAUGAAGGGGAUUUUCUUUGCCACUUAAUGAAUCAAGAGUCCAGUUUUAUUUAGAGAGAGAGAAAGGCAUGCCUGCCUCCCACCCUUCAGAACAGACUCCCAAUGGAAUGGGAGGACUGAACCCUAACAUGUGAAUAGCGUUUGCCAAAGAUGAUGUGCUGGGAAAGUUCCAUUAUGGUAUCAACUUGACAGAGCAUUUCAGAGUAAAAAGAUACCGGAAGCAAAGAUUUUAACACCCUUUCUACCGUGUUUCCCUGAAAAUAAGACAGUGUCUUAUAUUAAUUUUUGCUCCCAAAGAUGCUCUAGGUCUUAUUUUCAGGGGAUGUCUUAUUUUUCCAUGAAGAAGAAUUCACAUUUAUUGUUGAACAAAAAAUUGAACAUUUGUUAUAUACUGUACAGUAGUUGUCAUCACAAAUCAGCAUAACCAGACAAACUGUGAAUCCUACCAAGAAUUUCUUAUUGCUACCAAUUUUUCUAUGUACAACACUCUAUGGUACGUACAUUUACGGAUCCUGCAUGCUCUGGUGUUCUGUUCGUUGGGCAUGCUUCCAAACAAAAACUUUGCUAGGUCUUACUUUCGGGGGAGGCCUUAUAUUUAGCAAUUCAGCAAAACCUCUACUAGGUCUUAUUUUCUGGGGAUGUCUUAUUUUCGGGGAAACAGGGUAGGUGACGUUAGUUGUGUACUUAGCAAUAACAAACCAAAAAACAGCUGAAGAAAGGAAGUGUACUCUGUUGCCACCUGGUGUUUAGCUAUAAUAGCUGAAUUCUAAAUGAGAAUUCUGCUUGGUUCAGAAUCAGAUUUAUUUGGAUUAACCCAUAUUUGAGGUGAACUUAGAUUGCGAGGAGCCUGCAGUGGCGCAGUGAGUUAAACCAUUGAGCUGCUGAAUUCGCUGACCCAAAGACGGUGGUUCAAAUUCAGGGAGCAGAGUGAGCUCCCACCGUCAGCUCCAGCUUCUGCCAACCUAGGAGUUCAAAAACAUGUAAAUAUGAGUAGAUCAAUAGGUACCGCUUUGUCGGGAAGAUAACGGCGUUCCAUGCAGUCAUGCCAGCCACAUGACCCUGGGGGUGUCUAUGGACAACGCUGGCUCUUCGGCUGAGAAAUGAAGAUGAGCACCAACCCCCAGAGUUGGACAUAACUAGGCUUAACAUCAGGGAAACCCUACCCUAAGAUUGCUGAAGAACGAAUAAACAGUGGUAAUCAAAGGGAUACAUGUGUUGUCGAAGGCUUCCAUGGCCGGGAUCACAGGGUUGUUGUAUGUUUUCCGAGCUGUCUGGCCAUGUUCUAGAAGUAUUCUCUCCUGACGUUUCGCCCACAUCUAUGGCAGGCAUCCUCAGAGGUUGUGAGGUCUGGAGAAACUAAGCAAGGAAGGUUUAUAUAUAAAUGUGGAAAUAGAUGUGGGCGAAACAUCAGGAGAGAAUACUUCUAGAACAUGGCCAUACAGCCCGGAAAACAUACAACAACCCAACAAAAGAAUACAUACAUCUUUAUCCCCAGCUACACUGCCAUCUAAUCUAGUUUAUAAAUCCAGAUUAUCUGUUUGACUAUUUGAACUGGCCCUUGCUCCCACUUUCCAUCACUUGCAUAGCAACGUAACGCCUGGGAGGCAGUAGCAAUGGAAAGCUACAAGCCCAGCGGUCAAGAUGGAUGGCCCAUUAACAAGGUUGAGUGAUGUGUAAAGGUCAACAGCUCUGGCCAUUCAAUGAUAUAAACACAAGGAAAACGGAAUCUAGGAGGAUAUGUUUCCCUUCCUGUCCGGCUUUUGUAUGAGUAGAACUGGAAUAGAAUGUUCUCUUUUUAAUCUCUAUGAGCCCAAGAGGUUUUUAUUUCCUCAUUGCCUCAGGGUCUGGGAUGUUCUGGGAUUUGAUGCAGAAAUGACAGCCUCCCCCAGAAGGUGAUAUAAAGGAGGUGGGCAGAGCUGGAGUUCGCUCAGUCCUGCUUUGCCAUGAAGUUCUCAACAGGCCUCGCUGUCCUUCUUACUUUCCUUGUCCUCUGUUCUUUGAUGCCUGCCGGGUCUGUUAACCAUCCAGGAAAGUGCCCAACUCCACCUAAAGUAAAAUGUAAAAAAUAUAAUGCAUUCUGCCAUUCAGAUAGUGAUUGCCCUAAGCCCAUGAAGUGCUGUGAAUGGCUAUGUGCAAAAUUCUGCCUACACUGACUGAAAUGGACUGAUCUUGAAGGAGGCCUUGAUCAAUGGAUAGCAACCAACGGAGAUGCCUGACCAGAGCUCCUCUGUCCAUCUCUCCCUGCUUCCAGGGAAUCUGACUCCUGCUCUGCACCAUCUCCACUUUCCACAUUGAUGGUCCCAAUGCUUCUCUGUUAGCACGUCUCCUUCCCUGGAAAAUAAAUGCCACAGCCUCAAGA